UUGGCUCAUCCCGCUCUUGGAAACGCCGUAUGGAUCGAGUGGCGAGCGUGGUAUUAAGAGCGCGCAUCAAACAGCCUGGCUGUAUCCUCGAGUCAGGGUUCGUGUUUUUGCUUUCUUUGGCAACACUUGUCUGGCUCCUAACGCCAGUAAAGGCUUAUUGUUCUCAGUUGGAAUGGUAAUAAACAGUAUUGCUAUUAUCCUAUCAUUUCCACGCGUGAUCACUAUCUGACCUUUCAGACAGGUCUGUGUGCAGCUGUGCGACUCUGACACCCGUGGGCUGUGACAAAGGAUACUCUCUCCUGAUCCAGACCCCAGGAACCUUUAACCACUGUCCUAGAGCACAAGGAGAUUUGGGGAGAUUUAAAUGAAAAUUUUCAAAAAAGAUAGUCAAGUAUUCUCAUUAUCCUGCUGCUCCCAUCCAACUUUCCACCUCUCUGCACAUUUACUUCCUUUGAGAAAAUCUGCUCAUUUAUUUUGUGAGCCUUAGCAAGAUCCCAGGCCUUGAAGUUCUGGCUCUUCGAGGUUGGAGAUCCUAAAGAAUAUUGAGAAUUGUAUUGAUUCAGGUUUUGUUGGUGUUAUACAACAAUGCCCAUGGCAGGCAUUUCAUUGUAGUUUGACUUCUGAAAAGAAUACCUCUAUGAAAUAUACUUCCAAUUUCAGUUAAAUGUGUUAUUUUAAA